GGUCAUGAGUGCCAGCGCGAAGCCCCGGCUUGCUGGCCGGCAACCCUCCUACCGCGGUGGGGUGCCCCGGGUGAGGACCAGGCCCGCCACAAACCGUGGCUGGGCAAGCGCGGACC
rnacentral:ncRNA from 2 species